rnacentral:ncRNA from 1 species
CUACAAAAGUCUGGUCCCGGCUUUAUUAUCAACCACAAUUAAUUUUACACAUGCAAGCCUCCACACACCAGUGAAAACCCCCUUAUAUUAUUAUAUAAGGACUUGAUAUCAGGCACAACAAUAGUUAGCCACCAACAUCUAGUACAACCACACCCCCAAGGGCAAACAGCAGUGAUAAACAUUGUCAUAUAAGCACCAGCUUGAUGCAGAUAUAGUUUUUAGGGUUGGUCAAUCUUUGUGCCAGCCACCGCGGUUAUACAAGAAACCCAAGUUGAUAAAAUUACGGCGUAAAGCGUGACUAGGAAAUAAUCAAAUUACUUAAGACUAAAAACUUACUAAGCCGUCAUACGCAUAGUAUACUUGAUAUACAACAACGAAAAUGAUCUUAACAUUAACGACAUCUCUAACCUCACUACCGCUAGAAAACAAACUGGGAUUAGAUACCCCACUAUGCUCAGCCACAAAGCUUGAAUACUUACAUUAACUUCCGCCAGAACACUACGAGCAACUGCUUAAAACUCAAGAGACUUGGCGGUGCCCCAAACCCACCCAGAGGAGCCUGUUCUAUAAUCGAUAACCCACGCUGAACCUCACCACCCCUAGCAAACAGCCUAUAUACCACCGUCUCCAGUUUGCCUCAUGAGGGCACGAAAGCCAACAAGAAUGACACACUCAAAUAAGACAGGUCAAGGUGUAGCAUAUGGGUUGGGAAGAAAUGGGCUACAUUUUCUAUAAAGAACACGAAUAAUAUUAUGAAAACCAUAUUUGAAGCCGGAUUUGACAGUAAGAUUGGAUAAGUUUACCAACCUAAAAUCGGCCCUGGGGCGCGCACACACCGCCCGUCACCCUCAUCAAAAUAACACAAAAAUAAAUAGAUAAUAACACACCAGUUAUAACAGACGAGGAAAGUCGUAACACGGUAAGCGCACUGGAAAGUGCUCUUGGAUUGAU